AGAGGCUUAGGCCCCUUGUGGGUUUGAAAGGCUGGGAUUAUUGUGUUAUUUUGAAAUUGAGUGAAGACCAAAGAGAUACAAUGCAGCACUCAAGAACAAAUUCCUGUGAUCUUCUUGCCCAGCUUCCUUCUUCUC